GACGAACGCUGGCGGCGUGCUUAACACGUGCAAGUCGAACGGAAAGGCCCUGCUUUUGUGGGGUGCUCGAGUGGCGAACGGGUGAGUAACACGUGAGUAACCUGCCCUUGACUUUGGGAUAACUUCAGGAAACUGGGGCUAAUACCGGAUAGGAGCUCCUGCUGCAUGGUGGGGGUUGGAAAGUUUCGGCGGUUGGGGAUGGACUCGCGGCUUAUCAGCUUGUUGGUGGGGUAGUGGCUUACCAAGGCUUUGACGGGUAGCCGGCCUGAGAGGGUGACCGGCCACAUUGGGACUGAGAUACGGCCCCGACUCCUACGGGAGGCAGCAGUGGGGAAUAUUGCACAAUGGGCGGAAGCCUGAUGCAGCAACGCCGCGUGCGGGAUGACGGCCUUCGGGUUGUAAACCGCUUUCGCCUGUGACGAAGCGUGAGUGACGGUAAUGGGUAAAGAAGCACCGGCUAACUACGUG
rnacentral:rRNA from 1 species